CGUAGCAGGGUUCGAGAAUGUUUUUGAGUUGGUUGGUGUCAGUUCUGCGUUUGGCCCGGUCGGGACCUAGCUCGCUCGGAAGCAAGUGCCUACUGGUUUGCGGAUUUCUCCCCCGGCUGAGAGAGGGCCCUUCCUAGUCCCCGGGCUAGAUUUCGUUAUGGGGGCCCAAGCUGAGCCCUACUAACAAGCGAGUCACCGGGGUGCUCACAACCCAGCCUAGUAACAGAGGGUCGAAAACCCAGGACUUUCGGACAACGGGGCAGACCCUAUGACAGUGGCCAGCUUAAUACUGAACAUCAGGAAGAAG